rnacentral:rRNA from 1 species
UACGGGGGGAGCAAGCGUUGUUCGGAAUUACUGGGCGUAAAGCGCAUGUAGGCGGCAGCGCAAGUCGGGCGUGAAAUCCCACGGCUCAACCGUGGAAGUGCACUCGAAACUGCGCAGCUAGAGUCCUGGAGAGGAAGGUGGAAUGCUUGGUGUAGAGGUGAAAUUCGUAGAUAUCAAGCGGAACACCGGUGGCGAAGGCGGCCUUCUGGACAGUGACUGACGCUGAGAUGCGAAAGCGUGGGGAGCAAACAGG